CCCUUGUGGAGGAGGACGCCGAAGGUGGGGCUAAUGACUGGGGUGAAGUCGUAACAAGGUAGCCGUACCGGAAGGUGCGGCUGGAUCACCUCCUAACAGGGAGACAACAAAAUGUUUAAUAUUAUUAUUUUGUCACCUUAGGUCGAUCGGUAUCUCACGUUUUUAAUUUAUUAAGAAUUUCAUUUCCUAAGUUUUUCUAGGUCACACCCAUUAUUUUUCCUGGGCCAUUAGCUCAGGUGGUUAGAGCGCACCCCUGAUAAGGGUGAGGUCCCUGGUUCAAGUCCAGGAUGGCCCAUAUCUCUAUGUUGGGGGUAUAGCUCAGUUGGUAGAGCGCCUGCUUUGCAAGCAGGAUGUCAGCGGUUCGAGUCCGCUUACCUCCACUGAUUACCACCUCUUCCAUAAUCGGUAGAAAGGAAAUGUUUUGAGUUGUGAUCAAAUUCUGAAAGAAUUCAGCUUCCUAAUGAAAUCAUUAAGAUGCUGGACUCAUUGAAUUAAUUUCAUUGUUUUCAGAGAACCUUGACAACUGCAUAGAUUAUUUUUAAAGACAAUAAGCAUCUUUAAUGAUGCAGAUUUAUUAUUUGUGCGAAUGCAUUAAUAACAAUUCUAUUAAGCUGAUGCUUCAAUUUUUGAAGUUAUUGGUCAAGCUACAAAGGGCUCACGGAGGAUACCUAGGCACACAGAGGCGA
rnacentral:misc_RNA from 1 species